rnacentral:lncRNA from 1 species
AUUUGUUUGCUCAUUGUUGGGCCCACAAUAAUAUUUCAUAUUUGCUUCUAAAUAAUGUGCAGUGUGUUGUUCAGUCCAACACUUCUGGUUGCUGAUAAUCAAUCUUCAAAUCUAAUCUGCUCCCCACUUCAGCACUUACAGUUCUCCGUUAUGGCUGCUGUCGAUAACACUGUGCAGAGGAGCAUAAAGUUCAAAAUCACAUCAAAAGGAAUACGGCGUGAAUUAGAAGACAAGUCAAGUGGUGACAUGAUGAUGAUAGUGAAUAAUAAACGUAGAGAUGGAGUUAAUGGAAAUGGAAAAUCCAUUCCAGUCAAAUAUACGAAGUCAGGCAACUCUAACAAGCGUAAACCCGGAGUGAUCCUUGAGUGUCAUAGGGAGAAAAAGCAGAGGACAGAACAAAAUUUCAAGGAGCAGUAUAGUAAAAUUUUGAGAUCGUUGAUGAGGCACCCUCACGGGUUUGCUUUCAAUCAACCAAUUGAUCCUAUGAAGCUGAAGAUUCCAGAUUAUUUUUCAAUAAUCACUGAGCCAAUGGAUUUGGGAAAGAUCAAGUGUAAACUGGAGGAAAAUAGAUACUUUGAUGCAGAGGAAUUUGCUAGGGACGUGAGGCUGACUUUUUCCAAUGCAAUGGUGUACAAUCCUCCUGGGAACUAUGUCUAUAACUUCGCGAAAGAAUUAAAUGAUCUCUUCAGUAAGAGAUGGAAUUUAUUGAAGACUAAAUUGAAUGUGAUCGUCAAAGGAACAUCACUAGAGCUGGAAAGAGCAAUAAAGGUUUCUUUGGAAGUAACAGAAGGAAAGGUGAGUAAAUGUAAUGGUGUAUACAAUCUGGUUGUGUCUAUUGGUGUGAUGCUUUCUUCCUUUAUCAAUUUUGCACAGUACUGUUUUCUAAUUGUCACAAUGUUGUCAUGCACUUGCUUCGUUUGCUCUAUCCUUAGUUUGCUGCUCCUUGUUAGUGGUUACUAGACCUUUCUUUACAUAAAUUGUUGAUUCUGUAUGUUUUCCUGAACAGGCGAAGCCUUCGAGAACAGCACAAAGUGGGCGCCCCAAACUAGUGAAAACUUUUCAUAAAGGUUAGAGACGUGACAGAAUAAGUUUGUGCGUUCUGGUUCUUUACAUGACUGAUUGGCCAUGUAUCUUGUAUGCAGAUAAUGGAAAUCAAGCAUUUGCUACUUCCAAUAGAAAACAACCAUUUGAUUUCCCUGCAGUCAAAUGUGCUGCAUGUGGUAGUCUGACGUGCCAAUGCAGCCUCAGAUGUUCUGUUAAGCCAUCUUCCAAUGGUGAUUUAAAUUCUUAUAACAACUUGUUAAUAUGUUGCAUUUGUGUUCAUGUCAACUAAUUUGGAGUAUAUUGCAUCUUGUUUCAGAUUUUUCUUCAAAAAGAUUAUUUGAUCGUGAUCACUCCGAUGAUUCUAAACUGGUAAAUUUUAGACUCUUCUCGUUUCACCAAAUAAUUUAUUUUUUCAAAUAUAUGGUGUCACUUAUUGUUGAUCUUUCCCGUGUCUAUUUACAUCAGGAUGGUGGGGUUAAAUAUCCUUUGACAUCUCCAACAAGAGGAUUACAGCUUGAUUCAUAUGGUGAGAGCAAUAGCUGUUGCCUAUAUGUUUACAAUUGUGUAGCUUGUUUUUUGAUUAUUUGAGCUUUGACAUGCUAUUGUCAAUGAAUUGUAGGGCAUGAAUGUGUUCCCAAUGAAGACAAUUCUCAGCAAAAAGUCUCUUCCCCAGCAACAACUGCUGCCAUUGAUAAAGGUAACUAUGAUCUAGAAAUGGAAAUGCAUUUUUGGGAUUAACCUUUUACUCCCACUGGCACACCCAGACAUGCAUAUAUCAGUUCUGCAUGUAAGAAAAUGAUUUGCUUUUCCUCUGCAAAUUCCAAGAUCAAAACUACUGAAGUAUCAUUCAUAGCUUGGAAAUAUGGAGAUUUGAUUUAUAUAUGCCUUUGUUUUAGGAUGGACUUCACCUGUUAAUAUGCCGCCAAACAAGGUUUUGCGUGCUUCCAUGCUAAAAAGCCGCUUUGCAGAUACUAUCUCCAGAGCUAGACAUCAUACUCUCCUGGAUCAUGUAAUAAUUUCUUAUUGCUUGCAAAAAUUUGGCAUACAUACUAGGUUGGUCGAGCUCUUCGUUUUGUGGAUAUACUAAUCUCUGUCUCUGUUGAUUUCUAUUUAGGGCAAGAAGAUUAAUCCUGUGAGUAGGCAAAAAGAAAGGGAAAGACUGGAAAGGCAGCAGUGUGAAGGUAUCUUAGCAUAUCCUUGAUCCAAUAUUUUGGUGUACUGUAAUAUUUUCGUGUUAAAAUGUUGCCUUCCUAUGGAACUUUUAGUGUAAUAUUUGCCAUUUUGGGCUAGUGUUGUCUUGUAUUGAAAUUCUCUUUCUUGAUGAUCAGUAGAUGUGACACAAGGCAUGUGGCUGAAAAUAAAGUUUAAAUUAUAUAGACUCUUGUGUGAACUGUGAAACUAUUCUGGUUUGUGAAUUAAAAACGAGACAUGAAUUUUCAUUUAGAUAUCUGAUUGUCAUUCUUUUCUUUUACGGUAUAAGUAUUUCAUUAGUAUUUCUCUUCAUUUGGGAAUAUUUUGUUUACACUGGAUGUUUGACCUUCUGCAGAGAAGGCUAGGAUUGCAACUGCUGUAGCAGCCUCCCGAAUGAGGUUGGAGACAGAGUUGAAGAUGCAACGUGAGAGGGAAAGAAAAGCAGCCAGAAUUGCAUUAGAAAAGGUCCCUUUUUAAAUUCAUUUUUGUAUUCCUUGAUCCUGUGUGAUUCCUGUUAUGAUUUGCCUCAUUGAUACUAAAGAAAUUUAAAUUUACUGACGUUUGUUUCACUCUAAUUUAGAUGGGAAAAACAGUCUAUUUCAACGAGAAUAGAGAUAUUAUGGAGUUUGAAGCAAUAAUUGGAGGCAUCAGCAUUGGUAACUUGAGAAACUCUCUGGAACAGCUUGGGUUAUACAUAAAGGAUGAUUGCAUGGAAAAUGAUGAAGUGGAGGCAAUUCUGCAAGGAGAAGAGGGGGAAAUUCUUUCGUAAUCCUAGCUGCAUAUAUGUGUAGUUUUGAGGUGUUAAUUGUAAAUUAGUAUUCAUUUUGUGGGCUGUUAGGGAACGAAAGGCAAGAUCUCUAAUUAGUCAAUCAAACAUUGUAAGUACAACUAGUGCAUAUUUUUUGUAGAUGCAGUCCAACAAAGAUUCAGUACAACUUGUGAAUAAUUUUUUGUGUAUUUAGAAUUUGUCUUGUAAAUCCGUAUGUCCAGCGUGGUGCUGCCAUUGGAUUGAAAAAGCAAUGUUAUGCCCGUAGGAUGGUAGCAAUUUACUUUUUAUUAUUUUUUAUUUUUUUUACAAUUUUUUUACAAUUUAUUUAUUUAUUUAUUUAUUAUUUUUUUUUUCCGGAUCAAAUUGCUCGUUUGAGCUUAAG